UACGUAGGGUGCAAGCGUUGUCCGGAAUUAUGGGGCGUAAAGAGCUCGUAGGCGGUCUGUCGCGUCGGCUGUGAAAACCCGGGGCUCAACCCCGGGCCUGCAGUCGAUACGGGCAGACUAGAGUGCGGUAGGGGAGACUGGAAUUCCUGGUGUAGCGGUGGAAUGCGCAGAUAUCAGGAGGAACACCGGUGGCGAAGGCGGGUCUCUGGGCCGUAACUGACGCUGAGGAGCGAAAGCGUGGGGAGCGAACAGG
rnacentral:rRNA from 1 species